CAACACCCUACGCGGCAUUUUCGAAAAAAAAUUACCCGCAAACAAGACUACCCUCAAAUUCACGUGUUUUUCACAUGUGUGUAAACAGCCGGAGUACACCUCAGGAAGUAGCCUCAGCUACUAACAGCAAAUAGUCCCUUUGUAUACACUUGAUUAUUUCUACAAAUUACACAAAAUUUCCUAAUCAGGGGUACAAAAAUUAAGAGAAAAGAAGAAGAGGAAAUGAGAAAAAUCGCGCAAGGAAAAAAAAUUUCUUUAAAUAUAUGGAACUACAAUUGACUAAGUUCAUUUUGAUUGGACAAUUACCGGUGUGAUACCUUGAAGACAACUAAAUCUUCAUCAAAAAAUGUCAAAUUUGCACAGCAGGUGCCCGUUUCAUUCAUCAAUAGUAUACCCCAUGCACACAGCGAUCGGAGCAAGAUAACUGACGUAACUGGUGAUUUACUUCCCCUGGGGACUAUCGUGAUUUCUGCCUGUUUCAUCCGUGAAAUAUGAGGCGCGUGUGGUACUUUUUAAAUUGAAAUAACUUUGUAUAAAAUCAAGAUAUUUCCGCAAAAAUGGUUUCAUUGGAAAGAAGAAUGAUGAAAUUUGCUAUUUCAAUCACUUAUUAAUCCUAAAUUUAUUUAUACAUUUUUUUAAAUUGCUAAUUAUUUCAAAUUUCAUAUGAAUGAGAUCUUUGGUUUUGUGAAAAUAUUCAAUUUUCGGUACUAUAAUGGAAUCUGCAUCUGGUCAAUUUGGUAUCCUAGAAGAGCCCAUUAAUUACGCUUAACAGAUUAAACCAAGUUGAUACUCACGGGUGAUUAGUGUUUCAGAUAAUGGCCCCCUAAUCUGGCAGGGGUUGUGCGUAUUUAGCCUUUCUUCAAAGCAGGGGUAACACAUUAAGAAGACUAAAUACUGAUUAAAACAAAUAAAUAAGACUAAAGUCUGACUGGAUAAUGUGACGUUUUUAAACGUGUACACAAAUCAUACAGAAUCAUCCAUGUAACUGUUCAUUACAAAAAAUUUAAGCUAAAACAUUUCCUAAAUUUUGGUUCUAAAGAAGAUGUAGGUCAAAUAUCAAGGGCGCUACGUAUAGUGACGUUGAAUUGCAAGUAUUCAAAAUGCUCAAAACGGUAAGAAUAUCUAGUGACAAACUUGAUAUGCAGGACAGAACACAAAUUUUUGGUCAACGCUUUAGAAGCCGGCAAUAGAAUUAUGGCCUACGUCGUCAGAGCCUUGAUAUCCUGCUACGGAGGGGACUGUCGUAAAUCGUGCCAGAAAUAUUACCUCGCGUGUUGGGCCCUUAAAACGAAUAAUUUGAUAUCUUCUGUGUUAAGGAGACAUUUUGAUGUUCAUAUGAGUGACCUUGACGGGCAUUUACCAUGAAUUAUCUGAAUUUCUCUUUAUGACAUAAAAUUAAAAAUAAAAUAAAAUUUCUAAACUCUACGCAGAAAUACGAAAUCUCUUAAUUGGGUUAAUUUACAAUAAGGACAUUGAAUCAAGAAGUCAUAGAGUUAUGUAUGAUGCUUAUGAAUGUCAAGGAAAGUCCAUCUAACAGUUGCGCAAGGCAGGAGGAGGGGGGUGGGGUUAUUGUGCAAAAUGCGUAUUGUAAAAUCGAUGUGAAAUUUUGAUACGUCUUUUGGAUGUGUUAAGUGUUAAAACCGCCGGUGUAUGCUAUGUAGAUGGGUGUUUAUACAAAUAUUUACGAUUUUCUAGCUGUAUAAGACAAAAAAUACGUUGUUCAUACGUAUUUAGAUGUAAUUGAAAUUUCGCAUUGUGUAUUGCGUCAUGUUUCUUGAAUGACCUAUUAAAACACCGUUUUGUUUUUCAAACCUCUUGUUUUGAUAUCCAGUGCUGAUUUUGAGCCGAUGAAAAGGGAAAGGACUGAGAAAAACGGGAAAUUCUGAAAUUCACGACUUCCUUCAAGGUAUCACACCGGUAAUUAUUUUCACUAUAUAUUACUAUAGAGGGGAAAAAAUCAUUAAAAAUCAGUUUACAAAAUUGAUGCCGAAUAACGCAGUCAGACACGUUCUAUGUUACCUAUCUCGUCUGCCGACACCAGAAAAACAACACCCUACGCGGCAUUUUCGAAAAAAAAUUACCCGCAAACAAGACUACCCUCAAAUCCACGUGUUUUUCACAUGUGUGUAAACAGCCGGAGUACACCUCAGGAAGUAGCCUCAGCUACUAACAGCAAAUAGUUCCUUUGUAUACACUUGAUUAUUUCUACAAAUUACACAAAAUUUCCUAAUCAGGGGUACAAA